rnacentral:rRNA from 1 species
AUACGUAGGGGACGAGCGUUGUCCGGAAUUACUGGGCGUAAAGGGCGCGCAGGCGGAUAUUUAAGUCAGCUGUAAAAGGCAUGAGCUCAACUCAUGUAUGCGGUUGAAACUGGGUAUCUAGAGUGCUGGAGAGGUAGGCGGAAUUCCCGGUGUAGCGGUGAAAUGCGUAGAUAUCGGGAAGAACACCAGUGGCGAAGGCGGCUUACUGGCCAGCAACUGACGCUGAGGCGCGAAAGCCAGGGGAGCGAACGGGAUUAGAUCCCCCGGUAGUCCUGGCCGUAAACGAUGAAUGCUAGGUGUGGGUGUCGAGAGGCAUCCGUGCCGGAGUUAACGCGAUAAGCAUUCCGCCUGGGGAGUACGAUCGCAAGAUUGAAACUCAAAGGAAUUGACGGGG